rnacentral:rRNA from 1 species
AUUGAACGCUGGCGGCAGGCCUAACACAUGCAGGUCGAGCGCGAAAGGCUUUCGGGCUGAGUAGAGCGGCGGACGGGUGAGUAACGCGUAGGAAUCUACCUGGUAGUGGGGGACAACUUGGGGAAACUCAAGCUAAUACCGCAUACGCCCCAAGGGGGAAAGCGGGGGACCUUCGGGCCUCGCGCUAUCAGAUGAGCCUGCGUAGGAUUAGCUAGUUGGUGAGGUAAAGGCUCACCAAGGCGACGAUCCUUAGCUGGUCUGAGAGGAUGAUCAGCCACACUGGGACUGAGACACGGCCCAGACUCCUACGGGAGGCAGCAGUGGGGAAUAUUGCGCAAUGGGGGCAACCCUGACGCAGCCAUGCCGCGUGUGUGAAGAAGGCCUCGG